UACAGAGGGCUCAAGCGUUGUUCGGAUUCAUUGGGCGUAAAGGGUGUGUAGGUGGCGCCGUAAGUCGGGUGUGAAAUUUCGGAGCUUAACUCCGAAACUGCAUUCGAUACUGCGGUGCUUGAGGACUGGAGAGGAGACUGGAAUUUACGGUGUAGCGGUGAAAUGCGUAGAUAUCGUAAGGAAGACCAGUGGCGAAGGCGGGUCUCUGGACAGUUCCUGACGCUGAGGCACGAAGGUCAGGGGAGCAAACGGG
rnacentral:rRNA from 1 species